rnacentral:rRNA from 1 species
GACGUAGGGUGCAAGCGUUGUCCGGAUUUAUUGGGCGUAAAGAGCUCGUAGGCGGCUCGUCGCGUCGACUGUGAAAACUCGGGGCUUAACCCCGGGCUUGCAGUCGAUACGGGCGGGCUAGAGUUCGGUAGGGGAGACUGGAAUUCCUGGUGUAGCGGUGAAAUGCGCAGAUAUCAGGAGGAACACCGGUGGCGAAGGCGGGUCUCUGGGCCGAUACUGACGCUGAGGAGCGAAAGCGUGGGGAGCGAACAGG